GAUGAACGCUGGCGGCGUGCCUAAUACAUGCAAGUCGAGCGAACAGACGAGGAGCUUGCUCCUCUGACGUUAGCGGCGGACGGGUGAGUAACACGUGGAUAACCUACCUAUAAGACUGGGAUAACUUCGGGAAGCCGGAGCUAAUACCGGAUAAUAUAUUGAACCGCAUGGUUCAAUAGUGAAAGACGGUUUUGCUGUCACUUAUAGAUGGAUCCGCGCCGCAUUAGCUAGUUGGUAAGGUAACGGCUUACCAAGGCGACGAUGCGUAGCCGACCUGAGAGGGUGAUCGGCCACACUGGAACUGAGACACGGUCCAGACUCCUACGGGAGGCAGCAGUAGGGAAUCUUCCGCAAUGGGCGAAAGCCUGACGGAGCAACGCCGCGUGAGUGAUGAAGGGCUUCGGAUCGUAAAACUCUGUUAUUAGGGAAGAACAAAUGUGUAAGUAACUAUGCACGUCUUGACGGUACCUAAUCAGAAAGCCACGGCUAACUACGUGC
rnacentral:rRNA from 1 species